CCUACGGGUGACAGCAGUGAGGAAUAUUGGUCAAUGGGCGCGAGCCUGAACCAGCGAAGUAGCGUGAAUGAUGACUGCCCUACGGGUGGUAAGCUUCUUUUAUAAAGGAAUAAAGUGAGGCACGUGUGCCUUUAUGUCUGUACUUUAUGAAUAAGGAUCGGCUAACUCCGUGCCAGAAGCCGCGGUAAUACGGAGGAUCCGAGCGUUAUCCGGAUUUAUUGGGUUGAAAGGGAGCGUAGAUGGGUUGUUAAGUCAGUUGUGAAAGUUUGCGGCUCAACCGUAAAAUUGCAAUUGAUACUGGCAGUCUUGAGUACAGUUGAGGUAGGCGGAAUUCGUGGUGUAGCGGUGAAAUGCUUAGAUAUCACGAAGAACCCCGAUUGCGAAGGCAGCUUACUAAACUGUGACUGACAUUGAUGCUCGAAAGUGUGGGUAUCAAACAGGAUUAGAUACCCGGGUAGUC
rnacentral:rRNA from 1 species